CUGCAGGAUAAGUUACAAUGCAGCUGGUUCAGUGCUGCUUUGUCGUUCCCCCUGCACACAGAAACGUGUUUCCUACUAUCCCUGUCUGUCUGCACUCCAUGGAAGGCGGGGACGCUUGGUCUCAAACAC
ensembl:snoRNA SNORA63 Small nucleolar RNA SNORA63